rnacentral:misc_RNA from 1 species
CCGCAUUGAAUCGGUUCAACAACCGGACGGGUUUGAAAACCUCGUUAAAAAUCGUCCACCAAGGAUCCUCUAUUCCUCCUCGAAGCUGUUCCUAAGCGCGGAAGAGUCUAAAUUCAAAGACUUAGGUUUUUUCCUUCGUCAGCCGUGGAGCCAUGGUUAUGAGUAAUUGAGCUUACUGAAAUACAUGAAUUAGCGAAGCAUCUGGAUUCUGAGGGCCACAAGAUGAGUAUAGUGCCAAAGGAGACCAUAGAAGUGAUAGCGCAAAGCAUUGGCAUAAACAAUUUGAGUGAAGAUGCAGCCCUUUCUCUCGCUCCUGAUGUCGAAUAUCGCAUGCGUGAGGUCAUGCAAGAAGCUAUCAAAUGUAUGCGCCAUUCCAAGAGGACUAUCUUGACCUCUGAUGAUGUUGAUGCUGCUCUCAACCUCAGAAAUGUCGAGCCAAUAUAUGGCUUUGCAUCAGGUGGUCCUUUGCAGUUCAAAAGAGCCAUUGGUCAUAGGGAUCUGUUUUACAUUGACGACAAGGAUGUGGAUUUUAAAGAUGUGAUUGAAGCUCCAUUACCAAAAGCACCACUUGAUACUUCAGUUGUUUGUCACUGGCUAGCUAUUGAAGGUGUCCAACCUGCUAUACCUGAAAAUGCUCCAUUGGAAGUUAUUGCACCUCCUUCUGAUGGCAAAAACAGUGAACAAAAGGAUAAACUUCCUGUUGAUAUUAAAUUGCCAGUUAAGCAUGUACUAUCUAGGGAGCUUCAGUUAUACUUUGAUAAAAUCACAGAGCUUACGUUGAGAAGGUCUGAUUCAGCCCUCUUUAAAGAAGCGUUGGUGAGUUUAGCCACUGACUCGGGACUUCAUCCGUUGGUUCCUUAUUUCACGUGCUUCAUAGCUGAUGAGGUUGCUUGUGGUUUAAAUGAUUAUAAACUUCUCUUUGCUUUGAUGCGUGUUGUUUGGAGUCUUCUUCAGAAUCCUCACAUUCAUAUUGAACCUUAUCUACAUCAAUUGAUGCCAUCUGUAGUCACCUGCCUCGUUGCAAAAAGGUUAGGGAAUAGAUUUGCGGACAACCACUGGGAACUCAGAGACUUCACUGCUAGCCUGGUUGCCUCGAUAUGCAAAAGAUUUGGGCAUAUUUAUGGCAGUCUCCAGACACGUUUGACAAAAACUUUGCUCAAUGCACUUUUGGACCCAAAACGGUCACUGACUCAGCACUAUGGUGCAAUUCAAGGGUUGGCAGCCCUAGGACCUAACGUGGUAUUUUUUUCUCUCACAAUUCCAGCAGAUAAAAUUUUACAUGCUGUUAAACAGUUAGUUGAAGUAUGUCCUUAGGUUCCUUAGAACAAAUAACCCAUAAAAAUUUUUUCAAUGCAUAUUUAUCAAAUGGUAAAAUGAAGAAAGAAUUGUGGUUCAUGGUUAAGAGUGGUCCAACUUUUGUUCUUGGCAAAGGUAUAGAUAACUUUAUCGUUCUAAUGAUAAUGUGUUUGUAAUGGGGAUGAGAGCAAAAAUCAUAUUACAUAGAUGCUAAUUACUGAUGAAGAUAUUUGGAUGUGUCCUGCAUUUUAAAAACCUAGAUCCUGUUAAGUUAUGGCUUUUCUUAGGGUUAAUUUAUGUGGGCCACUGAGGUUUGGAAUUCCAGUUAUAUGGUGAUAUUUUAUCAUAGAUCCUGUUAGAGAUUAUAAGCCAUCUAAUUUUUCAUGCAUCAAAGAAUGAAGAGGUUUCUAUUGUAAGCUGUGCUUAUCCUUGAAGAUAAUUUUCAGCUGAAAUGAAGUUUUAAGAAAUGAUAUUUCAGGCCAAUUGCUCUUGUUUAGUCUCUACUGUUGGAGUUCUGAGGAAACAUGUUUAAAUAAUUAAUGUAAAGGGACAUUGGAAAGAUUUCUGCCAUGUUCUUUUUCUGCUUUGUUACUUUGCAACAUAAAGACAGUUAGCAGAUACUUUGCUGUAAAAUCAAGCAAAGGUGGUUUACUGGCUAGCAUCAAGCAUUUAUUUAUGAUGAACCAUUUAAAUGUGUCAUCACAAUUUGGAGUACAACCACCUUACCUCUGCUGUCAUCAUGAUUUUGUGAAAUAGAUUUCUGAGUUGAGGAAGUUGAAUUUGAUGCUUAUUAAUUUCCCUGUGAACAUAUUCACUUCUACGUAAUUUCUUUUUUUUAAUUUUUAACCAUUUGAUAUGGAAAGUGAAUAACUCAUGAUCCCUUCAUUCUUUUUGAAGUCUUUUAGUAUUUUCUUUCCCUUUCUAAACUGUGGUAAUCAUUAAACUGGUUAAUUGAUAUUGCCUUUGGUUCUUGUCAUCAAGGAAUUUGAUUUGUUAAUGAUUAUUACUUUACAAGCAGGUUCGCCUUCUUGUACUGCCAAACCUCGAGCCUUAUCUCCGAGUUCUAGAACCAGAGAUGCUUCUUGAGAAGCAAAGGAAUGAGAUGAAGAGGUAUGAAGCUUGGCGUGUUUAUGGAGCAUUGCUGCGUGCAGCAGGACAGUGCAUAUAUGACCGUCUCAAGAUUUUCCCACCUUUGCCAUCACCUCCAGCACAUGCUGUGUGGAGGGACAAUAGAAAAAUUGUUACAUGUUCAAAUAAACGCAAGGCAGGCACAGAGCACUUGGAACAGCCGCCACCAAAGAGGUUAGCAACUGAUGGUCCAGUUGAUGUGGUGUCAACAGACUUAUCACCAUCACAUAUGCCAGGCGAAGCAAUCACUCCAGCUCCUUCAAAUGAUUCUAAUGUGGGCCCAUCCACAUCUUCUGCACAUAUGCCAAACAGUAAUGACUUGGACCGCAAAGUUGAAAGGGGGAAGGGAGAUCAUCGAUCUAUGAAGACAUCGGCCAUCCUCAAUCAGGUGUGGAAGGAUGAUUUGAAAUCUGGGCAUCUAGUGGCAUCACUGUUUGAACUAUUUGGUCAAGGCAUUCUCUCGUUCAUUCCAGCCCCUGAGAUGUCAUUAUUCUUAUGAUUUUAUUCUGAAAAUCUGUUAUAUGUAAGAUGCAGAUCUAGAUGGAAUCAUGUAUAUUAUUUAAAAGGAGAUGGUCUAGUUCAAUCUGAAUGAAAUUUUUAUGGAAGGUUUUACAUUAGUAGAUUUUCUAUUUAUCAUCAUGAUUGUUAUCGUCUGUUCUCUUCUCACAA